rnacentral:rRNA from 1 species
UACGUAGGGUGCGAGCGUUGCCCGGAUUUAUUGGGCGUAAAGGGCGCGUAGGCGGCCACGCACGUCCGUUGUGAAAUCGCCCGGCUCAACUGGGCGGGGUCAGCGGAUACAGUGUGGCUCGAGCAAGCUAGGGGGCAAUGGAAUUCCCGGUGUAGUGGUGGAAUGCGUAGAUAUCGGGAGGAACACCAGUGGCGAAGGCGGUUGCCUGGAGCUUUGCUGACGCUGAGGCGCGAAAGCGUGGGGAGCGAUCCGG